AUGGGUCUGGAGGAGGCUCUGAUCCGGUUCCGGUCUCUCCGUGUGCAGGACGUCCUUUGGGCCCUGUGGGUCUGUCCGUGUCCCCCGUCCGCACUGCCCAGCCAGGAGGGCAUGGCCCGGCGGUUUCCCAGGCCCCUCGGCUUCCGCGGAGCCGGGGAGCUGUCCCAUUCCGGCAACGCCCAUUGCCCUCUGCGCCUUCUCGCCGCCCACAAGCCUGCUUCUUCCCUGCUCUGUCCAGCCCACGGUCCUUUACCCAGGCCAUUCCCUUGCGAGCCCCCUGCUACCUCUCCCUCCUUCCCACCUGAUGAAACUCCAUCAGUCCACCUACACCCAGGGCCUGAAGACACCUUGACCAGCCACGGACGUCGGCGUAAUUUGCAGAAAAGUGUGGUCUCCAACGUCUCCUGGACCCUUAACCCUACGCAGAAAUCCUUCCACUCCCCCUCCCCCCCCCUCGCCCGUUUAGUUCUGUCUCCUCUCUCCUCCGUGGUUAUUUCAAACCUUUACCUCUCUCCUGAAACCUCUCCCCUCUCCCCUAACCCUCGUCCCACGCAGAAGAAUUCUCACCUCCCUCUUCAGAGAGAAAGGAGAAGCCAUCCUACGGAAGCCUUGUUAGUGUUCUGCCAUCAGACCACACGUUUGCCUGCUUUCCUCCUUGCCUCCUGCUCGAAUGGGAGGGGACACGUCCUCUAACUCUGUCCAACUGACUCUGUCCAAGACCUACUGCUCCUCCAGACGGCCCCGAAGCCAGUUCCCUGCCACAGGGCCACACACAUACACUCCAGACCUUUGCUCCAGCUGUUCCUGAUGCCUGGAAGAUUCUUCUGCAACCUCCCCAAACUCUGCCUCCUCCCUUCCUUUGCCUAAUGCCCAUCCCAACUUGAUGGAUGAAGACUUUCUUCCAAAAUGAAAUUAAGAUAGCUUCAGAAGGAGCCUUUACUGGACUAUUAUUGUCUGCCAGGCACGGUUCUAGACUCUUGGAAUGUGCAGAUGCAUAAUUUUGUGACUAUAUUAUUGGAAGAUAAUGUUAGUAGACAUCCAAGAACCAAAUUAUCAGAGGAAAGAAUUGGGAUUCAUUACCUAGCAUUGCGGCCAGAUAUCUGUUAUCUUUUGUAUCCCGGACACAUGGACACAGGAUUGCGAUAGGGCAUAACUCUGGCCGUGGGACAAGAUGUUCACAGUUUGGUUGAGGAGGCGUGUCACACGCCCCUAAAGAGUUACAAAGGAGAUUGUUUUCAAUAAGUUCGAGCCAAGAACAGAAGAGCGGGUGUAGGCUGGACGUGGUUAUGUGCCACGUGACUGACACUGAUAGGAAGGUCUUCGGGCCCCGGGAGGAGGGGACCAUUUCGGCAGCAAUGUUUCUUCCUGUGUCAGUGAAGCUGCACCUGACCUGUGGGAGCUGCUGGUGGGCACGCCCCCUGCUAGGGUCACCCCCUGACCCGCCCUGGGCAUCCAGGGUGGCAUCUGAGGCCCCAAGAGGGUGCAGGAGGUGAUGGUUUUAGGAGCUGUUGGCUUUGCAGCUCUGUGCUGGUGGUGGCUUAUUUCCUGUAAAUGAUUCUGUCAGAAAUAUCUAAGCAAUGCUCUUCAGGCCUUCAACGCCCACCCAAAAAAGAUUAAAGUAGAUUCUUCAUCAGCUAUUUUAAUAGCACCUAAGAAUUAUGCAAUCUUUUGGAAAAUCAAAUUGGCUUCUCCCCCUGCCCCCCUCGCUGUGUGUGUGUGUGUGUGUGUGUAUGUGUGUGUCCCCACAUGGGCAUGCACUGAAAUGGUGCUUAUGCCUAGGGUCUGUUUAAUAUUCAGCAGCAGGUGCCCUUUGCUCCCUGGUGUCAUGUAAUGUGCAGUGCUGGGGUGGGGGGCGGAGGGCGGCGGGGAGGCUGGAGGGAAGGAGCCAACCAGCCAAUUGCUGUGCCUUCCUGCUCUUUAAAGAGAGAGCUGACUUUGCUACGUUUGUCUCCCCUCUUUCUUUAAAGAGCAUGUCUUCAAAGGAUGAACCCUAUAAUGCCCCGUCUCUGGCACACGUGCAAAAUGGAUUCUCAGUAAACAUGGCCAGAGGCGCCUGCCUUGCCAGGUUAAAUGUGGACUCACCCUCCUUUCCAGCCAUGUUUCCCUUACUCCCUGGCUUUCUCCAUGGGUUCCAGCCAACUUGGUCCCCAAAUGGGCCUUCAGUCUUUUCAUCUCCAGGGUCUUUGCUCAUGCCCACCCCACCCUGCUUCCUUCCUUGAAGUCAAUCCAAAUUUACUGAGCCUUCAAGGCCGCUGUUAAAAAGUCACCUCUUUCAUGGAGGCCUUUCCUGACCACCUCCUCCCCACCCCCCAAGCCUCAUGGGCUUUUGCUGAUCCCUUUUGGUCCAGUGGAACAUGCCCAAGAUGGCACCAUGCACCCUCACCAGGUCAGUUCCUCUGAUCUUCAGGGCUGUCUUCCCAGAAAGGCAUCAUUGGCCUCCUUUGCCCCAAAAAACCAGCUGACCCUCAGGGUCCCUCAAGUUCUUGAGGGGCAGAGCAGUUCCAGAACCCCAAUCUGGCUGAUUCCACCCCGUACUCCAGAGCCCACCCCCACGCCGGCAUUCCCACAUGGCACCUUUACCUGUACCCGCCUAUUGUGCUGGUUGUGAGGUGGUAGGCAUGGCCCCUGGAGUCCAAGCUUGAGUUCGAAUCCCGGCUCCACUACUUGCUGGCUGCAGACCUUGGGUAGCUAAUUGCACUUCCCUGCCCCUUGCUUUCUACCUCUAUAGAAUGUAGGUGGUUAAUAAUGGGAGUGUGGGGGGCGCCUGGGUGACUCAGUCGUCAAGCAUCUGCCUUCGGCUCAGGUCAUGAUCCCAGGACCAGCCCCGCACCGGGCUCCCUGCUCGGCGGGAAGCCUGCUUCUCCCUCUCCCACUCCCCCUGCUUGUGUUCCCUCUGUCACUGUGUCUCUCUCUGUCAAAUAAAUAAAUAAAAAUCUUUAAAAAAAAAUUAAAAAUAAAGGUCUUAGCACAGUGCCAGGCACGUGGUAAAUGCUUGGUGAGGGUUAGUGUUCAUUAUCAUGUUGGUUUCCUCCUCCCGUGUGCCUUUCCUCCAGCUCCUCCUGAGCUCCUCUAGGCUAGGAACUUGCCUGUGUCUGAGUCCCUUGCUUUGCCCA
rnacentral:lncRNA from 1 species